CAAUUAUCAACCGAUCCCAAUAAUCUCCCUUGCGAAAAUCUACCAACGAAUUACAAUAAUGUAUAUUCCAACUUCCUCAUCAGCUCAAACGGGAGAUCUAGCGUAGAGUCCAUUUCCAACGAACGGACACUUGCAUGGCCUUCAAUCCAUUCCGCAUUUCUGCCGUCUAAUAGCUACCGGAAGAAAAAGCAUUUUGAAAACUGUGAAAUCAAUCGAGGAAUGUCCGUAUUACAUGUGAUAGUACGCA
rnacentral:sRNA from 1 species